CUGGGUGCGUACUCAAUGCUUGCAUUUUGCAUGUUUUUGUGGCGUCGCUUCGGUGGCGUUCAUGAUGCAUGCAGGAUUACUUUGAACGGCUCAAGUGCUUAAAGCAAGUCUUAUGACUGAAUACCGGUGCAUGGAAUAAUGGAACAAGGUUGUGGCUGAGUUUUAUUGGUUUUGUCGGCUAAAACAAUGGUUAACAGGAACAGCCGGGGGCAUUCGUAUCGCUGCGCGAGAGGUGAAAUUCGUGGACCGUAGCGAGACGUCCUACAGCGAAGGCAUUUGCCAAGAGUGUUUUCAUUAAUCAAGAACGAAAGUCAGAGGUUCGAAGGCGAUUAGAUACCGCUCUAGUUCUGACCGUAAACGAUGCCAACUGUCGAUCCGCUUGUGGAUUUUAUUCAUGAGCGGGGAGAUUCCGGAAACGAAAGUUUUUCGGUUUCGGGGGAAGUAUGGUUGCAAAGCUGAAACUUAAAGGAAUUGACGGAAGGGCACCACCAGGAGUGGAGCUUGCGGCUUAAUUUGACUCAACACGGGAAAUCUCACCCGGCCAGUACAUCGUAAGGAUUGACAGACUGACAGCUCUUUCAUGAUUCGGUGAAUGGUGGUGCAUGGCCGUUCUUAGUUCGUGGAUUGAUUUGUCUGGUUUAUUCCGAUAACGAACGAGACUUUAACUAUUAAAUAGUGCGCAUGUUGCUUCGGCUGCGUGUGAUCACUUCUUAAAGGAAUUUGUGGUUUUCAACCUCAAGAAAUUGAGCAAUAACAGGUCUGUGAUGCCCUUAGAUGUUCGGGGCCGCACGCGUGCUACAAUGGUGGUAACAGCGUGAUUGUCCUUUUCCGACAGGAAUUGGCAAACAGUUGAGAUAUUAUUAUGGCUGGAAUUGAGUGUUGAAAUUUUCUCUCAUGAACGAGGAAUUCCAAGUAAAUGUGAGUCAUUAACUUGCAUUGAUUACGUCCCUGCCCUUUGU
rnacentral:rRNA from 1 species